rnacentral:rRNA from 1 species
GAUGAACGCUGGCGGCGUGCUUAACACAUGCGAGUCGAACGGAAAGGCCCAAGCUUGCUUGGGUACUCGAGUGGCGAACGGGUGAGUAACACGUGGGUGAUCUGCCCUGCACUUCGGGAUAAGCCUGGGAAACUGGGUCUAAUACCGGAUAGGACGAUGGUUUGGAUGCCAUUGUGGAAAGUUUUUUCGGUGUGGGAUGAGCUCGCGGCCUAUCAGCUUGUUGGUGGGGUAAUGGCCUACCAAGGCGUCGACGGGUAGCCGGCCUGAGAGGGUGUACGGCCACAUUGGGACUGAGAUACGGCCCAGACUCCUACGGGAGGCAGCAGUGGGGAAUAUUGCACAAUGGGCGCAAGCCUGAUGCAGCGACGCCGCGUGGGGGAUGACGGCCUUCGGGUUGUAAACUCCUUUCGCUAGGGACGAAGCGUUUUUGUGACGGUACCUGGAGAAGAAGCACCGGCUAACUACGUG